CCAUAUAGAACUCUAGGGUAGAGUUGAUAUGAUCCAUGCAAAGUGGUGAAAGGAACAAAUUAAGGAGAGAAACGAAAUCACGCAAACCCAUCAAUCUUAGAUAUUACACUGACGCACCCUAUACACAAUUCUACAGUUACCAAUAACCCUCUCUAUCUCUCUUCUUUUCUAAUUAAUUUCCAUGUCCUUUUUUUCUUUCAAUUUUUUCAAACAACCCCCUUCACUUUUCAUUAUUUAAAACCUACCCCCUCCCACUCCUUUUCCUUUACUGCUUUCUUCCCCUUAUCUUCUUCCUCCCACCACUUUUUUAAUUUAGGGCAAACUCUGUAUUCCCCCAUUGAAGAAUAUGGUGAUGAGGAAAAGCUUUUGUUAGUAAAAGGCAGUUGCAAAAUCCAGAAUCAAUUUUUUGAAAAGAAAAAGAAAAAAUCAAUGGUUUCAUACGAAGGGAAGCACAAACCUUAGAAACCCGCAUGGAAGGGAAGUUAAAGGCAGCAUGGGUUGUGUGGUGCAGCCAUAUGAUAAUGUAAAAUGCUUUAAUUUCGCCCACAAUCUUUGAUUCAAUAGGCUUACAUUUGAUCAUUUUGGAGAGGCUUUUUCGUGGAGUUAUUGCUUGAAAUUUCUGCAUCUUCUUCAAAGGUUCUACCAUUCCCCAACUAGUUGAAGUUUCAUCGAUAAUCCCUGACACGACUUCCCCGUCUGAAACCGAUGAUGGACUCCUUGUAUCACCAUUGCCGUCAAUAUGGAAGCUUUGUUGAUCCUUUGAGAGUUUCUUGAUUGCAUGUCUAG